GUACUUCAUCAACCAUGAAACCAGAAGGCCAGUAGUUCCAAGAUUCAACACUACCAACCAUGUAGUCGUGUUGUAUCCGUUGAAAAUGCGCUGCCACCACGGUCCUUCCUCAAACCCACUUCUAAAAUCAUCCAUAAGAAGUCGUCCCAUGUUGAAUAUUGAGCCAAAUGUGUAUAAUUGGACAUUCUGCCAGUACAGGCUGUCAUUAUUCUUCUUCAUCAAGAACUCAGUAUAAACACCGGCUAGUGCUGAAAGACAAGCAGAGAGUGCACCAAACAAAUAUCCUUGAAUGGGCGAUGAAAAGAAUGAGUCACAGGAAGCUUCUCCACAGCCUUUCACCUGGCUUGUGGUUGUUCCAACAGCCAAAAGUAUGAUUGCCAUCCACUGCAAGUUCGUAAGCUUCCUCUUCAGAAACAGCCUGAAUAAUAUUCCCGUAGUAACAAUCUUUAAGUUGCCCAUUAUCUGAUA
rnacentral:misc_RNA from 1 species